CUUUUUGAAAACGCCUUAAUUUUUGAACCUCUUUGGACUUCUUUAUUGAUAUUGGAUAUAUAUUAUUCUCUUUUACUAUUGUACCACGAAGAACCUUCUGCUUUUACUCCGCUUACAAAUUUCCUUUUUGAGGAAAACCUAAGAGGCUUAGGGACUUUCUGCUGAAUGUCUUAUUUUCAUUAUGGCUUACUUGACUGUUUACAUUCUCUUGUUUUACUAAGUUUUGAACUUACUAACGCAGCCCACGAAAGCGUCCUUCAAGCAGGCACGCAUCCCGAUUUUUACGUUUUAUUGGUCAUUCCAGCGGUUGCUAGAGC